GACGGAGGGUGCUAGCGUUGUUCGGAAUGACUGGGCGUAAAGGGCGCGUAGGCGGCUCGUGAAGUCGGGUGUGAAAACCCGGGGCUCAACCCCGGACCUGCAUCCGAUACUCCCGGGCUAGAGGCAGGUAGGGGAGAGUGGAAUUCCUGGUGUAGCGGUGAAAUGCGCAGAUAUCAGGAGGAACACCGGUGGCGAAGGCGGCUCUCUGGACCUGUCCUGACGCUCAGGCGCGAAAGCUAGGGGAGCGAACAGG
rnacentral:rRNA from 1 species